ensembl:lncRNA
UGGGUUUUUUUUUUAAAUUGCUCUGCUCGUUGCGGGCUUGUCCGAGAGGGGGGGUUGGUUGGUGGCUGCGGAGAAAAAACCAAACCCCCCCUCCCCCUCCGAGAGCCAACGGAACAAAAACAAAAGAAACUUCGCCGGGCUCCGAAAGUGGCAGCAAAGUGCCUGGCAAGUUGCAGGGAUGGAGCUACACAGCUUGCAAGAGGCGUUAAAAGUGGAAAUCCAGUGUCACCAGAAACUAGUUGCACAGAUGAAGCAAGAUCCACAGAACGGUGAUCUUAAGAAACAAAUCCAUGAAAGGCA